AACGCACCUUGCGCUCCUUGGUAUUCCGAGGAGCAUGCCUGUUUGAGUGUCAUUAAAUUCUCAAUCUUCACAACCUUGUGUUUGAAGAUUGGAUGUGGGGGUUUAUGUGGGUUCUUUUUACAAGUCCCACUCCUCUGAAAUGUAUUAGCUGGAAUGCCUUUGCAAAGCCAACUAUCAGUGUGAUAAUUAUCUAUGCUGGAGUUGCUGCAUAAAGGGGAUCUGCUUCUCAACUGUCCUAUGGACAAUUUGAAUCAUUUUGACCUCAAAUCAGGUAGGACUACCCGCUGAACUUAA
rnacentral:misc_RNA from 1 species